rnacentral:tRNA from 1 species
GGGGCUGUAGUUCAGCUGGGAGAACACCACACUGGCAGUGUGGAUGUCAGGGGUUCGAGUCCCCUCAGCUCCACCA